rnacentral:rRNA from 1 species
AGAGUUUGAUUAUGGCUCAGGAUGAACGCUAGCGGCAGGCUUAACACAUGCAAGUCGAGGGGCAGCGGGAUGUAGCAAUACAUUGCCGGCGACCGGCGGAUGGGUGCGUAACGCGUAUGCAACCUACCUUAUACAGGGGAAUAACCUUUCGAAAGGGAGACUAACACCCCAUAGUAUUGAUUUAAGGCAUCUUAGAUUAAUUAAAUAUUUAUAGGUAUAAGAUGGGCAUACGUAUGAUUAGCUAGUUGGUAAGGUAACGGCUUACCAAGGCGACGAUCAUUAGGGGUUCUGAGAGGAAGGUCCCCCACACUGGUACUGAGACACGGACCAGACUCCUACGGGAGGCAGCAGUGAGGAAUAUUGGUCAAUGGGCGCAAGCCUGAACCAGCCAUGCCGCGUGCCAGGAAGACGGCCUUAUGGGUUGUAAACUGCUUUUACAUAAGACUAACCGUAUAUUUGCGAAUAUACCUGAAUGUAUUAUGAGAAUAAGGAUCGGCUAACUCCGUGCCAGCAGCCGC